UAAUGGAUACAAGUCUCAUUAUACCACAGAAGCAAACACUAAUUCUUCUAUCAAAUAAAACCUCUAUCUGAAAGCCACAAUAUGACAUCGCGAAAAUAUGCGAGACACUUCCAAUAAAGAAUAACCAUUUUAAACACAAACUUUUCUAGCUAGUUAAUGUAAAAACGCAGGCAUAUUCAAAACAUGUUUCAGCCGUAAAUAUAGCUCAUAUGACCAAUGAUUUCUUUAACAAAGGGGUAUGUCGAGCACACAUUACUGAUUGCAAUUACGGGACAUCGCUAUUUCGAAAUAUUCAGUGUCACUUUGAUUGCAAGGUAUUCUUCAUCCUUAAACAAAUGUCGUGUUUUUAUUCAUCCUAAAUUUGAAAGCAUGAUAGAUAUGUGAUUGUAAUGGGUAAAAAUAAGAGUGGCAUUUAUACAUAAUGUAUAUCGAAUGUCUAUAGACGGUUGCGUGACGCAUUCGUUGCUUUUGCGGUUUCAUGUAGUUUACAUCCUGUGCGAAAGGGUCUUCCCCUGUAAAUAAAAAAAUCCUGUAUUUAUUCUUGCCAUUUAUAAAUAAGCUUUAUUUUGGUUUAUGAUCGGGUUUUUACCACUGGUAAAUGUGUAUAAAAAUGCACAGCUGGCUCUACAUUUUAGCAAACAUAUCUUUGCCUUUGGGAACGUUUGAAAACAUAUUACAAAAAGAUAAAUAUUUAGAGAAGUUAUACUUAUUACAAGAAGAUAAAUAUUUAGAGAAGUUAUACUUAUUACGAAAAGAGCAAAAUGAGGUUCACCGUUUUAUACUGUACACUGUGGUUAGUUUUACUCUUUCCUUUCAACACAUCAGGUAAAGUGUGUUUAGACUGGACCAAAAACUGCUAUUCCGAGCGCCGGACAUGUCAUGGAAUGACUUCCGGAUUAAAUUUAUAUAAUAUGCAAAGUUGUUCGCACCAGUGUUGGAAUAUGGGAUAUUUACAUGGGAACUGUAUGAAAAUAAAUGAACCAAGAACAUUUAACUGCAAAACAAGAUCUAAACAUGCAUGGAUUUGUUUGUGUGAUCACAGCCGCCCCGGAUGGAAGCAUGGACACUGCAAAUAACAAACUUUCAUUGUGGUCUUCAACUCGUAAAGGACUGCCGAACUUAAGAUCAAGGAUUCAUCUUGCACUGAAACAUAUAGGCCUAUGUACGGCGAUUUGACAAAACUACUGCUCAUCUGAAUAACGCCGAUUUCAAAGAUCGAGGGAUUGAUGAAAUUCACAGAUAUAUACUGCUUCAGUACACAUAUAUUUUGAUGACAAGAUAUACACACAACUUAAACCAUGUGAUAACUUACGAUCUAGAAGAAUGCCUUUACGGUCAGAAGCAGUAUGGUUGAACUAUUGAUGAAAAAAAAAUGAUUAUUUUACUUUUUUACUUUACAUUAUUCCACGCUGCCAAACUUCAAUAAUAAUUUACAUAUUUUGUUAUAUUGUUUUUGAUAUUUAUUUAUUUAUUUAUUUAUUUGUUGACCAUUCAUGCAUGAUUUAUUGGGCUGUGCCCAGUAGCAUAUUAUCACUGACAUCCCUGUUUUUCGGCGACGCCGUCUAAAUUCGUUUUCGUUACCUAUGCCACGUGACUUCAGUUUGCAAAUCAAACUACUUGAUAACGCAUUAUAGAUAAUUUAUCAAAAUGGAAGAUUUAUGCAACACUCUUCCUGAUUGGGCGAGAGUGUUAAUUUCUUUCACUCUGUUGAUUGUGCUACGCUGAGUGAAAUGUAGACAAAGCGUUUAUCCUAAACGACGCUGUUCACAGUUUUAAAGCUAACUUUGGCUCAGUAUAUUAAGCAAGAAUAUUGAUAUAUCUCAAAAUGAUAAGUAAGUUUAAUAAAUAUGAUAAAAACCUGUUCAAAUACCAACAUAUAUCAUAUUAAAGAAAGAGCUGAAUACGGUCUGUGUAUCACAUGAAUAAGGGUGUGAUAAGAGUCUUUUAUGUAGAGAAGUAUUUUUUAAAAGAUUUUCCUUGUAACAAUUGUCGUCUGUAUAUGAAAAGGUUUCUUGCUUUUGUGACUUAUUCAGAUUGCAUAUUAAAAUGAGUACUUGUUUGCUUUGAAUAUAUUUGUUAUAAGUUAUUUAACUGAUUUAUUAUAUAUGAAUAUUUUUCUUUAGUAUGGUAUGCAAAUAUUGAACUCAGUUGAAAUCUGUUUUAUUAUAUAUAUGCUAUAUACUGACCGAAUCUCAUUACACUGAAAUGAAGGUACGCUGCAUACAGUUUAUCUAUGUGAUAUGACUACGGUCAAACUUUGCUUAUGAAUUAGAAAUAUUGAAAUAAUUACAUUUGUAUGUUUUGCUUGACCUUCACUUUUUUAUAGGUGUGACGUCAUUGUCCAAAGAUUCAUGAAUAGCGAAUAUGCAUUUGUUAAAGCGGGAUCAGUUGGCCUAUUUUAGAAAUAAAUAAAAAUAAUAAAUAAAAAAAAUCCUUUAAUUGAUUUUUUCUCAUGUAUUCUAAUCAAACUUGAUUUGUAGCAUCUUUAUUAGGCCCGCAGCCAACUUUGUUCAGCUGAGACAUUUAACCCCUUUUAGGGGCUGCUAGAGCUAAAACUAGAAAUGCCUUUAUACAGCGUCUCAUGAACAGUUUGGUGGAUCUUUGUCAUACUUGGUCUGGAGCAUCAUUAUAAGGCCCUCUUCCAAAUUUAUUUAUAUAGGAACUUGGGCCCUAUUAGGGACCGCUAUAGCUAAAAGUAGAUAUGCCUUUCUUCGCAUUAACCACUAAAAUGUAAUGGAUUUUUAUCAAACUCGAUAUGUAACAAUAUUGUAAGGUCUCCUGCUAUUUUGUUACAAAUGGGGAUAGGGACCAACUUAGCUAAAAAAUAUAAACACGUUUAAUGACCUCUUCUCAUGAACCGCUUCAUGGAUCUUCAUCAAACUACUGCUGUAAUUAUUCGUCUAAGGAUAAACGAAACAAAAUUGCAACCCCACGAAACCUUUGCGAAAAAUUAAAAGAGAACCAUUUAAAUUGUUAAAGUGCGGUGUUUAGUUUUGCAAUUUGAAAAAUGUUAGAUGAAAGAUGAAUGUUAGAUGAAAAAUUCAUAAACUUCUUUCCUUAUUACAAUUCGCCGACCAUUAUUUUUAAAGAUAUUUCUUGUUAUGUUAUAAAUUUGUAUUGUACAAUUUAAAUGAUUUUGUGCCUUUUACUUGUUAUUUUUUAAAUAAACUUUCACAAUGCCAUAUGA